rnacentral:lncRNA from 1 species
GGAGGCUGAGAAACUGCAGGAAUAAACAGGACUGAGAGGACAGGCCUCACCGUGAAACAGCUGCCCUGGGCCCGGGACUCGCCAGGAGGAGCGCAAACCGGAGGGCUGUCAAGGCAGGGGCUCCCUGGAGCUACUCUGCUGUCCUGACUCUAACCACCAUGGUCCUCGAAGAGCCUCCUCCAAUCUCCAACUCAGACCACUCCAUGGAGUGAGCCUUCUUCAUGCCACUUAAGCUCCGUCUUUCAUGCUCACAUGGGCCCCAGGUUCCCAAAGCUAAUCUGCAAGGGAUUGUCUGAGCCACAGGGCCCAGAGCCCACCUCAUCCAUUCUGCAGUCAGCAGCCGGCACCCACAGCGUCCACGCGCAAUCACCCGCACCUGCCUCAUGAGUCAAUGGGCCCAAAUUGCGGGGCGCGGCAGACGCCCCACCGAGAACAAGGAACACAAAGGGCUCUGCGCUUCAAGCUGUGGGUGGGAAUUACAAAAGGUUAAGAGACUAAAUAUAAAAAGCCCUUUGAAUAUAAAAUCAAUGUGCUUUGUUGCUAAAAUCUGGGUGCUGUAAUUUAUCCAAAAUAGGACUUGCAAUAUCUGGCAAUAAUCCAUGCCUAGGAAUUGUCGGUUCUGCUCAUCGAAAUGCAAAUAGUCUACUGGAAACUUAAAAACAAUUAAAACAACUGAAAUAUUUCAUACCAACAGAAUAAUGAAAUACCA